AAUGAACGUUGGCGGCGUGGAUUAGGCAUGCAAGUCGCACGCUUUAUGUAGCAAUACAUGAGGAGUGGCGUAAGGGAGAGUAAUGCAUGGUUAGCUACCCUUGGGACUGGGAUAGCGGCGGGAAACUGCCGGUAAUACCAGAUGACAUCUUCGGAUCAAACGUGUGAAACGGCCCAAGGAGGUGACCAUGUCCUAUCAGCUAGUUGGCGGUGUAAUGGACCACCAAGGCUAAGACGGGUAUGGGGCGUGAGAGCGUGCCCCCACUCACUGGGACUGAGACACUGCCCAGACACCUACGGGUGGCUGCAGUCGAGAAUCUUCGGCAAUGGGCGCAAGCCUGACCGAGCGACGCCGCGUGCGGGAUGAAGGCCUUCGGGUUGUAAACCGCUGUCGUAGGGGAGGAAGACCCUGUGAAGAACAGGGUUUGACCGAUCCUAGGAGGAAGGGCCGGCUAAUCUCGUGC
rnacentral:rRNA from 1 species